GCAAAAGCUCAAAUUUGAAACCUUCGGGAUUGUAAUUUGAAGAUUUGGCAUUGGAGAAAGCUAACCCAAGUUGCUUGGAAUAGUACGUCAUAGAGGGUGACAACCCCGUCUGGCUAACCGUUCUCCAUGUAUUGCCUUAUCAAAGAGUCGAGUUGUUUGGGAAUGCAGCUCAAAGUGGGUGGUAAACUCCAUCUAAAGCUAAAUACUGGUGAGAGACCGAUAGCGAACAAGUACUGUGAAGGAAAGGUGAAAAGAACUUUGAAAAGAGAGUGAAAUAGUAUGUGAAAUUGUUGAUAGGGAAGGAAAUGAGUGGAGAGUGGUUGAGGUUUCAGCUUGCCUUUGGGCAGGUGUAUUGCCAACGCCGAGUCAUUGACACAGACGGCGGUU
rnacentral:rRNA from 1 species